AUGCUCUGGGCCUGUAAGGAGGCGGUUAGUGGAGGGAAAUGCAAAGUCAACUGGCAAAAGGUCUGCCGCCCCAAGGAGCUCGGUGGUUUGGGGGUUCUGGACCUGGAGAGGUUCUCCCGGGCCCUGAGGCUUCGCUGGUUAUGGUAUGAGUGGAAGGCUCCUGAGAAGCCAUGGGUGGGCUCUGAAACACCCAACGACGCCUUCGACCUUGACCUCUUCAAUGCGGCUACUCGCGUCACCAUCGGAAACGGCGCCAAGGCCUCCUUCUGGUCGUCUUCAUGGCUCAAUGGUGCCCCGCCAAAAGACCCGGCUCCCCUAAUUUUCAAGGCUUCCAAGAGGAAGAAUCGGACGGUCCAGGACGCUCUCGCUGAUAACAACUGGAUCUCGGACAUAGCGGUGGAUGCGUUCACGGCCGAUCACAUGGAACAAUACGUCCGCCUCUGGGAGCUCUUGUCGGAUAUCCAGCUUCAUCCUGACACUGAGGACUCCAUUACCUGGUCCUUGACCCCUAAUGGGUGCUACUCGGCCACCUCCGCCUACAAGGUCCAGUUCCUUGCCUCUUUGCCCUGCCAGUUCGGGAACAUCGUGUGCAAGACCUGGGCCCCUCCAAAGUGUCGUUUCUUCGCCUGGCUCGCUGUCCAGAACCGUUUAUGGACCGCCGAUCGCUUGGCGAAACGCGGAUGGCCGCACCAACCUACUUGUCAGCUCUGCCGUACCUCCCCUGAGAUGGCACGACACAUUCUUUUCGAGUGCCGCUUCUCCAGACGUAUCUGGACGGCCGCGGCCUCUUGGUUGUCUUGUCCAGACCUCAUCAGCAGCAUCGGGGAGGGUAGGCCUAAAGUCGUGGACUUUUGGUUGGCCGUUUCGAAAUCCACCACCUCCUCCCCAAAUGGCUUGCGCUCAGCUAUCACGCUCAUCACUUGGGAGAUCUGGAAAGAGAGGAACGAACGAGUUUUCAACAACAAGUCCUCCCUGCCAUCGGUUGUCAUGCAUAAGAUUAGGGAAGAGGGGAAGGACUGGAUCCUAGCCGGUGCUAAAAAUCUGGCGGAACUUGUAGGCUGA
rnacentral:rRNA from 1 species